UGAGUAACCUGCCCUUAACUCUGGGAUAAGUCUGGGAAACUGGGUCUAAUACCGGAUAUGACUCCUCAUCGCAUGGUGGGGGGUGGAAAGCUUUUUGUGGUUUUGGAUGGACUCGCGGCCUAUCAGCUUGUUGGUGAGGUAAUGGCUCACCAAGGCGACGACGGGUAGCCGGCCUGAGAGGGUGACCGGCCACACUGGGACUGAGACACGGCCCAGACUCCUACGGGAGGCAG
rnacentral:rRNA from 1 species